UUCGUGAUGCCUGUGAAUCACAGGUGAGUUAAUUAUAAUUAGCAGGUGAAUUGCACGUAAGCAACAAAAAAAGUACUCAAAUCUGCAAUAUCUAUGGAAUUAAAAUGGGUAAUAGCAAACUUACUUGAAGGUUUGUUUAUGUAUUGAUUAGGAUUGCUAUUUACAUAUUAAACAAGAAUUUGCUGGACUAAUUGAGAAGUGGCAUGAUUGUUUGUGUGUGAUUCAGAUAAUUAAGUUUAUUCUUGAACCUCUGCUUCUCAUUGAACAUAUAAUUUGUCAUUACAUUUUAUUCUUUUUUAAAAGUUAUUUUUGAGUCAAAAUUAUCCUUGUAUUACUAAUUUCAAGGCUGAUACAUUUUGUUUUAAGUGCAACGUUCAUCAUGUUUGGUUCCAGGCUGUUAUGAAAGCUUGUGUG
rnacentral:misc_RNA from 1 species